rnacentral:rRNA from 1 species
UGGCGGCGUGGAUAAGACAUGCAAGUCGAACGGAACUACUUUUAGUAGCAAUACCGAGAGUAGUUUAGUGGCGAACGGGUGCGUAACACGUGGGCAAUCUGCCGAAAAGUGGGGGAUAGCUCGCCGAAAGGCGAAUUAAUACCGCAUGUGAUGAGAGGCGACAUCGUCUUGAAAUCAAAGCCGGGGCAACCUGGCGCUUUUUGAGGAGCCCGCGGCCUAUCAGCUUGUUGGUGAGGUAACGGCUCACCAAGGCUUUGACGGGUAGCUGGUCUGAGAGGACGACCAGUCACACUGGAACUGAGACACGGUCCAGACACCUACGGGUGGCAGCAGUCGAGAAUUUUACGCAAUGGGCGAAAGCCUGACGCAGCAACGCCGCGUGAGUGAUGAAGGCUUUCGGGUCGUAAAGCUCUGUCGAGGGGAAAGAAAUGUAUUGUGGUUAAUACCCGCGAUACUUGACGGUACCCCUAAAGGAAGCACUGGCUAACUCCGUGCCAGCAGCCGCGGUAAUACGGGGGGUGCAAGCGUUGUUCUGAAUUAUUGGGCGUAAAGCGCGUGUAGGCGGUUUGUUAAGUCUGUUGUGAAAGCCCUGGGCUCAACCCAGGAAGUGCACUGGAUACUGGCAGACUUGAAUACGGGAGAGGGUAGUGGAAUUCCUGGUGUAGGAGUGAAAUCCGUAGAUAUCAGGAGGAACACCGGUGGCGAAGGCGGCUACCUGGACCGAUAUUGACGCUGAGACGCGAAAGCGU